GGUUUACGCUAAAUAUUCAUAAAACUUCCGUUAACACAGGAAACACCCAAUCCCCAGUGAAGUGUGUGAUAGAUUGUCUCAGACUGAAGUCACUGGAUGUUGAAUACGAUACAUUUGGUGCCUAUUAAAGCAAAUUUGUAUUUGUUUUGAAACUGAAAGUGUUCAAAGUUUCAUUGCAGAAAACAUUAAACUUGGAAGAACUGUAAUCUGAGAAGGACAGUGUGGAACUCGAAAACAACAAUGACAAGUUGGAGGAGUGGGUGGAUAUGUAGAAAAUGAGGUUCAAUGCAGAAAGCUUUGAGCUCUACAGCUUCCAACAAGCCUUCAAGUGGGCCUGAAGAAGAAUAAGGAUAAUCAGGUGACAGCAUCACUCUAGGUUCUCCAUUUGAACUUCAAGCCGAUGAUACUCAACUUUAAUAUGCAUGUACUUUUACAGUGAUGUAAGCUUAAGGUGUUAAUUGAAAAUGUGACAUGAUAUAGAUAUUCAUCUAAGUAUGUCAAUCUAGCAAUUGAUGUAGGAUAAAUGACAGUCUUGAAAUGGCCAAUGUAGCCUCAAAAAACACCGACAGGUCAGAAAUACUGAUUAUAGAUAUAUAACAUGUAGUUAUACUCAAAGUGCAAUUGAUAUCAUGAGCCUGACAUAAUGUAAGCUGCAGGUCUAACCUUCCAUUGUUUCUAUAGUGUAAAUAAAAACCCAGAAAUUAUUUAGGUUGCUGAAUUGGUACAUUCAGUUGCUAGUAUUGACAAUAUUACCGCAUGAAUAACACUAUUAAUUUGUGUACUUUAUUGAUGACAUAAACAUAGUUUGCUCAUUAUUGAAUUUUAGUGCCAGCAUUACAAGCCAGAUCUGCAAAUUUUAAUUAGAUUUGUAUCAGAUUCCCCACUAACUGGCACAAAAUAUGACAUCCAUUUUUAUUUGUCUGUUUCUCUGAAAGUCUUAAUUUUAAAAUGAAUUUAAAAUUGCACAUUAAAAAAAAUUGUACUUAUG